rnacentral:misc_RNA from 1 species
CCAUCUCCUUGAUUCUUGCUUGAGUAUUGUCAGCCUUCAAAAGUCCGGCCUGGAAGCAAGAGCCAUUGCUACUUAGGAAUGUUUGUAGCAACAAUGGCCCCGGUAGAUCAAGGCGAAGGUGGAGUCCUCAGGACCCACCACUUUGACGUUGGGUGGCUGAGCGCCCGCCGCAACAGAAUAGGUAUGGGCCUUCUUAACGUCGGGCCCGACAAUGAAGCUCACCUCCUUGUCCGGGGAGCUCACAGUGAUGAACUGCCCCAAGACGC